GCUGGUAAUAACAUGGGAAGUGUUGGUGGUCUUUUAUUUGCCUUCGUAAGGCUUAACUUGGCGCGCUUUUAUAAGACUUAUUUCAAUUUGCAUUUAAUCUUGUUUCGGCUCAAAAAAAGUGUUUAAAAACUUAUCUUUAUUUUUUCUCCAUUUUACUCAGAGCGCAAUUUUCUUCCUUUUUUUACACAUAAAACAUUCCCUAAUGAUCAAGUCAGGAAAACUACAGUGAUCAUACUUUGUGACGCAAAACAUUCCCUAAUGACCGAGUCAAAAAAUGCCAGUGAUUAUACUAUGUGAUAGCAUUUAGAGAGCUGACUUAACUAGCGGAAGUUUUUUUUUUUAACAGAUCGUAAUCCAGAUGGGAGAAGAAGUGGGUGGUAUGGUAAGUGUUCGAACUGGAACAGGCGCCAAAAGCCUUUCGUGUCCACUGAAGUACGUGCAGGAAGUCUGAGCUAUGUUGGUAUCGCUACCAUCAUGUGAUUGGCGGGCAGCACUCCAAAUCCACCGACCUCUAGCCUCUACUCCAAGUGACUUCAAAUGUCAAUCGGAAAAACCCUUGAUCUUAGGAGUUCAAGGGAUGACCACUUUAUCCUCCUGACACCCACCCUCUAACUGUCUUUAUGCACCCGAAGCAACCAAAGUUAUGGUUUCAAUGAUGAGGCCAUCAGUGACUAACUUAACAAAAAAAAGUGUUAUUAUUGCUACCACUUUACGUUCACGCCUUCUUUUCUUUUGUUUCAAAGAUCUGCGUUUUUAGCUCGUUUUUUUCUUUCCGGAAACAUUUUCUCGAAUAUAAUUCUUAAAUUUUCUUCUGUUUAUACGACCUACAUUUUCUCGUUAAAAACAGUUUUAAUAAUGUUAAUGCAAGCAAAAACGCUAUAUCUUCAAGAUAACUUAAACAGCAGUACAUCUUCAUCAAGAUUAUUUAAACAGCAGUAUAUCUUCAUCAAGAUUUUUUAAACAGAAGCAGUAUAUCUUCAUCAAUAUUAUUUAAACAGAAGCAGUAUAUCUUCAUCAAGAUUACUUAAACAGAAGCAGUAUAUCUUCAUCAAGGUAACUUAAACAGCAGUAUAUCUUCAUCAAGAUAACUUAAACAGCAGUACAUCUUCAUCAAGAUUACUUAAACAGAAGUAUAUCUCUAUCAAGAUAACUUAAACAGCAGUAUAUCUUCAUCAAGAUAACUUAAACAGCAGUAUAUCUUCAUCAAGAUGACGUAAACAGAAGUAUAUCUUCAUCAAGAUAACGUAAACAGAAGUAUAUCUCUAUCAAGAUUACUUAAACAGAAGUAUAUCUCUAUUAAUAAAACUUUAACAGUGGUAUAUCUCCAUCAAGAUAACUUAAAUAGCAGUAUAUCUUUUGUAUCAAGAUAACUUAAACAGCAGUAAAUCUUUAUCAAGAUUACUUAAACAGCAAUAUAUCUUUUGUAUCAAGAUAACUUAAACAGCAGUACAUCUUCAUCAAGAUUACUUAAAAGCAGUACAUCUUCAUCAAGAUUAUUUAAACAGAAGCAGUAUAUCUUCAUCAAGAUAACUUAAACAGCUGUAUAUAUUCAUCAAGAUUACUUAAACAGCAGUAUAUCUUCAUCAAGGUUACUUAAACAGAAGCAGUACAUCUUCAUCAAGAAUAAUUAAACAGCAGUAUAUCUUCAUCAAUAUUACUUAAAUAGAAGCAGUACAUCUUCAUCAAUAUUACUUAAAAGCAGUAUAUCUUCAUCAAGAUAACUUAAACAGCUGUAUAUCUUCAUCAAGAUUACUUAAACAGCAGUAUAUCUUCAUCAAGGUUACUUAAACAGAAGCAGUAUAUCUUCAUCAAGAUAACUUAAACAGCUGUAUAUAUUCAUCAAGAUUACUUAAACAGCAGUAUAUCUUCAUCAAGAUUAUUUAAACAGAAUCAGUAUAUCUUCAUCAAGAUAACUUAAACAGCAGUAUAUCUUCAUCAAGAUAACUUAAACAGCAGUAGAUCUUCAUCAAGAUUACUUAAACAGCAGUAUAUCUUCAUCAAGAUUAUUUAAACAGAAACAGUAUAUCUUCAUCAAGAUAACUUAAACAGCAGUAUAUCUUCAUCAAGAUAACUUAAACAGCAGUAGAUCUUCAUCAAGAUUACUUAAACAGCAGUAUAUCUUCAUCAAGAUUAUUUAAACAGAAGCAGUAUAUCUUCAUCAAGAUUAUUUAAACAGAAGCAGUAUAUCUUCAUCAAUAUUACUUAAACAGCGGUAUAUCUUUUGUAUCACGAGUACUUAAA